rnacentral:rRNA from 1 species
UACGGGGGGGGCGAGCGUUGUUCGGAAUUACUGGGCGUAAAGGGUUCGUAGGUGGCCGGCUAAGUCAGACGUGAAAUCCCUCAGCUCAACUGGGGAACUGCGUCUGAGACUGGUCGGCUCGAGUGCAGGAGAGGAACGCGGAAUUCCAGGUGUAGCGGUGAAAUGCGUAGAUAUCUGGAGGAACACCGGUGGCGAAGGCGGCGUUCUGGACUGCUACUGACACUGAUGAACGAAAGCCAGGGGAGCAAACGGG